rfam:Ailuropoda melanoleuca mitochondrion, complete genome.
CAUUAAGAAGCUUUAUAGCGUUAACCUUUUAAGUUAAAGACUGAGAGUGCAAGUCUCUCCUUAAUGG